GUUCCGCAACGUGCCGGAUUGUGAGGACCCGUUCGACUACGUCGGUUCGUCUGCUUCACGGAGGCAUUCUUCUUCCAAGCAGGAUCUCAGGCAAGAUGAUCAUUUCCCCAGAUACCAUUACUAUCAUUGCCAUGCUAGUUUUAUCGCUUCUAUCGAUUAUGUCUCGUUGCCUACCACCUGUUAAAUAUUAGCCUCUCAACAAUGCCACGAUUAC
rnacentral:lncRNA from 1 species